rnacentral:rRNA from 1 species
UACGUAGGGGGCAAGCGUUGUCCGGAAUUAUUGGGCGUAAAGAGCGUGUAGGCGGCCAGAUAAGUCCGCUGUGAAAACUCGAGGCUCAACCUCGAGACGUCGAUGGAAACCAUCUAGCUAGAGUCCGGAAGAGGAGAGUGGAAUUCCUGGUGUAGCGGUGAAAUGCGCAGAUAUCAGGAAGAACACCCGUGGCGAAGGCGGCUCUCUGGUACGUGACUGACGCUGAGACGCGAAAGCGUGGGGAGCGAACAGG